CCUACGGGUGGCUGCAGUCGAGGAUCUUCGGCAAUGGGCGCAAGCCUGACCGAGCGACGCCGCGUGUGCGAUGAAGGCCUUCGGGUUGUAAAGCACUGUCGAGGGGGAUCAAAGCCCGCAAGGGCUUGAGAGAUCCCUGGAGGAAGCACGGGCUAAGUUCGUGCCAGCAGCCGCGGUAAGACGAACCGUGCGAACGUUGUUCGGAAUCACUGGGCUUAAAGGGCGCGUAGGCGGUCGGCCAAGUCUGGGGUGAAAUCCUGCAGCUCAACUGUAGAAGUGCCUGAGAUACUGGCCGGCUCGAGGGAGGUAGGGGUCUGUGGAACUUCUGGUGGAGCGGUGAAAUGCGUUGAUAUCAGAAGGAACGCCGGUGGCGAAAGCGACAGACUGGACCUCUUCUACGCUGAGGCGCGAAAGCUAGGGGAGCAAACGGGAUUAGAUAC
rnacentral:rRNA from 1 species